rnacentral:tRNA from 1 species
GCCCCCAUAGCUCAGCUGGUUAGAGCGGCAGUUUUGUAAACUGUAGGUCGUCGGUUCAAACCCGGCUGGGGGCU